UUUAAAUUUAGAGUUUGAUCCUGGCUCAGGACGAACGCUGGCGGCGUGCUUAACACAUGCAAGUCGAGCGAUGAAGCUUCCUUCGGGAAGUGGAUUAGCGGCGGACGGGUGAGUAACACGUGGGUAACCUGCCUCAAAGUGGGGGAUAGCCUUCCGAAAGGAAGAUUAAUACCGCAUAAUAUAAGAGAAUCGCAUGAUUUUCUUAUCAAAGAUUUAUUGCUUUGAGAUGGACCCGCGGCGCAUUAGCUAGUUGGUAAGGUAACGGCUUACCAAGGCAACGAUGCGUAGCCGACCUGAGAGGGUGAUCGGCCACAUUGG
rnacentral:rRNA from 1 species